AAAAAAAUUAAAAACCCAAAACAGAAAAGCAAAAAAAUACCAAAUUGCCCCUUAUCCUAUCUUCACUUCUUCAGCCUCUUGUUCGUCCAACUGGAGGCAAAGCGCAAACGCGUCGCGGCUCGAUCGGGGGCGUGCGAGGCUCUUGCGUCAGUUUCGACAUCGCGGCACGCGGCGCGAGGCGGAGUCGGUUCCUGGCUGUAGGUCAACAGCGGCGGCUACCGGCCGUCGGGCCGCGGCAGGUCCUGACCGCGGGGCGGAGGCGAAUCCUGGUCGCGGGCGUGACGGCGGCGGUGCCCGGCCGCAGCGCUCGGGCCAAGAGCGUGUGUGCGGGGGCCCUUGGACGCUGGGCUCACCCACGGCACUUGCGCAUCCAGCGGCGGAGUCCUGUAGCGGCAGCGCGCAGGGCGACGUCGGCGUGCAGGCCAUGGGGCGACGGCGCGCAGGGUGUCGGCAGCCCGCGGGGUGGCAGCGGGGCGCGGUCAUCGGCAGCCUAUCCCUGCGGACUACGGUACGACGUGUUGGCCAGAGAAAACAUAUGCAUAUCCUUGCUCCUAGAGAACGACUCAUGGAUUGCUAUUAUUGCGGUAUCAAAAUUUUACUAAGAUGCUACUAAAAUUUUAAAUAUUUUUCAUUAUCAAAUAUGAUUUAAAAUAAUUGUAAUUUGUGUCAAAAAAAUUUUGGCCAAAACUAACCAUUUUUUGUCAAAAUACAAAAUGUCUUGUUCUAAAUCAGGGGUAAAAUCACAAAUAGCUUUAGAAACAAGGGGCAAAGUCACAUAGGCAUAUUUAUCCUUUUGUAUAAAAGUUAACACCGUUAGGGGAGGAUGACUUAACAGGGGUAAAGUGUGCUUCGUUUUUAAAACACAGGGGUAAAUUCACAAAGUUAAAAAAAUAGGAGCAAAACUACAAUUUUCAUAUAAAACAGGGGUAAGAAUAUAAGAGCCCAUAAAGAUUUGUCUCGUGAUUUCUAACCAAACUGUGUAAUUACUUUGUUUUUUAUCUACAUUUAGUACGUCCAAAUAUUCUGUGAUAACUAAAAACUUUUUUGGGUGGGGAACUAAACAAGGCCUAGUAGUCAAGAUUUUGUUAGGUCACUCGUGUAUAAGUCAUGUUUAGAUCCCUUCAAAAUUUCAAAAGUUACAAGAUUUCCUGUCACAUCAAAUCUUGCGACAUAUGCUUAAAGUAUUUAAUAUAAAUAAAAAAUAACUAAUUGUACAAUUUGUUUUUAAAUCAUGAGAUGAAUUUUUAAGUCUAGUUAGUCAAUUAUUGGACAUUGUUUUAUAAAUACAAACAAAAGUGCUACUGUGUCAAAAUUCCAAAAGUUUUUGCAGCUGACCUAAAUCGGUUCCACCUUCUGAAUUGCGAGCUCUGUUGAAAUGUUAACCUGUCAAGUGUUAAAAAUGCUAACUAAAAAGUCAAACUCUCCGGCCUGAGAUGGGUCGUCUCGCCCCUCGCGAGAGCGCCCCCGCUGGCGACCCGCCGCGCCCCGCCGCCCGCCGUGCCGCCCCCGCAACGCAAGUCGGAAUCGGCUUAGAUCGCGCCAACUCGGAGUCGGAGGCCGCGGAGGCCGCCAUCCCAACUGAGGUCUCAGGGUGUCCGGCAGGGUGCAUAAAACGCAGCACGCAAGGCCAGGAUGCAAAAAUAGGUUAACACAAGAAGUACUAACAGCAGUUGAAGGAGUAGAGACCACAAGCACAACUUCACAUGCCCAAACGAUCGGCCACCGGCAUAACGCAAGCUCAUCGAUCCAUGGCCGCCCGCGGUUCGUUUGUGCUGGACAUGGUCCGGCCGCUGGCUGCGCUGAUGCCGGCGGUGCGGCCCGCGGACAGGGCGGUGCCGUUCCACCGGCGCAUGCUCUACACGGGGCUGUCCGUGUCCGUCUUCAUGGUGUGCAGUCACCUGCCGCUCUACGGCGUCCGCUACGCGGCCUCCGGCGCCGACCCACUGUACUGGGUGCGCUCCAUUCUCGCCUCCAACCGCGGCACGCUCAUGGAGUUCGGCGUCGGGCCCGUCGUCACGGCCGGAACGGUGAUGCAGCUCCUCACCGCCUCCAAGCUGAUCCGCGUCGACAAGAGCGUCCGCCGGGACCGCGACCUCGUGGACGGCGCGCGGAAGGUGAGGAUUCUAUACCAUUGCUAGAUGCACGUUGUUCCAAGUCAAGCGUGAGUUACCCGCAGAAUGAACACAAAGUUGCAACAAAACUUUAAGAAGUAACAACACCCAUACCCGACUAAAUUAGUUUCCAUCUUGUAUCUAGUUAUUAUAUAACAUUAUUAUCUCUUAUAAUACGGAUCCGGACGAAAAGGAAGAAACUCUUCGUGAUUUAACGUUAUGGAUAGGUGAGAGAUGAGCGCUCAGUAGCAGUUCACAUAGUGAUAAGGCACAGGGAGAGGUGUGUGAGGGCUAACCAUGGGCGUUCGGGUAACCCGUAAAGUUCGGGUCGGGUAAUUCGGGUUUUCAAAAGUUCAGGUAAUGAGAAUUGUUACCCGAAAAUAGCCCUAAAAAACCACUACCCGCAGGUUCGGGUACCCGCAAAUUCGGAUUCGGGUAUACCCGAUAUACCCAAAAUAUAUAAAAUCAUAGCAAAAGUGAUAACAUCAUAGAAUUUUGCAUAGAAUAGAUGAUAACUCAUUCAUGUAACAGAUAAAGGAACAAGUUCAAACCAUGACGCAAUCAAGUUUUUAACCGAGGUGCAAACCACGACAAGUACUGAGAUACUGACUACUUAAUUACUACUGACAAGAUACAAGAGCAAAUAUCAAGUUUGCUGCUUGCCAUCACAACAGUGCUUGCUUCACACGAGAACAAAAUAAUCCAGGCCUCCCGGUACUUCGGGUAUUUCGGGUACCAGGGUAUGUUACCCGAUUUACCCGAAAUAAAUUCGGGUUUUAACAUUCACUAUCCGAACUAGAAUUCGGGUACUGUGGGUUCGGGUUUUUGAGAUCCGGAUUCGGGUAUUUCGGGUUCGGGGUUUGGGUAUCGGGUUUUGUGCCCAGGGCUAGUGAGGGCACUUCGUGAAGUAAAAAGAAAGGUUGAAGAAUCCCACUUUAUUAUUAUUAUAGCUAAUAUGGAGAAAAAAACUAUCAAAUGUUUAUACUUCACCCAUUAUUGAAUGCUAUAAAAAAUAACGAAUCGUUCCAAAAGAAAUUCUAAUACUCUUUGGCAACAACAUGCAUGUAUGCCAUACAUGUUAAGGGAACAUAAAAUAUACGAUAACAAAGACACUAAAAGAAAACCAUAUAUAUAAUAACGAACUAUUUUUUGAGGAAAGAGGUACAACCUUUGUGAAAGUAGUACACACUUUUUCAGAAAAAAUAUAAAUAUAACACGAUGACAAUCAAGGAACAAAUUUAACACUCCACCUUAUAUAUAUGGUCCAUGAAUUAGCUAUUAAGGACCUUAUUUUAGCUACUAGGGCAACCUCUAUUAGACCUGGUUUUAUAUACCAUGUUUUAUACUCUGUAUAAAAAGUUAUAGUAUUUUUGGUUGAUGUUUAAAUUGUUGUUAAUUUCCCUUCAGGUCAAGGUUGCUAGGGGCGUGGAGCACCAUGGUCUCAAUUGUGAUUCCUGGUCCAAAAGCCAUCAUCACUCCCCACUCCGGCGCUUCCCCUCCCUGCUUGGCCAUCGCUGCCCGACGGCGGCGCAACUCAUCGAGCACGAAGAUCACCG
rnacentral:lncRNA from 1 species